AGAGUUUGAUCCUGGCUCAGAGUGAACGCUGGCGGCGUGCUUAACACAUGCAAGUCGAACGAGAACGGAACUAGCUUGCUAGUUUGUCAGCUAAGUGGCGCACGGGUGAGUAAUGUAUAGCUAACAUGCCCCUUAGAGAGGGAUAACGUCUGGAAACGGACGCUAAUACCUCAUACUCCUUCACUACAAAAGUAGUGUUGGGAAAUGUUUUUUCGCUAAGGGAUUGGGCUAUAUGGUAUCAGCUAGUUGGUGGGGUAAAAGCCUACCAAGGCAAUGACGCCUAGCUGGUCUGAGAGGAUGAUCCGCCACACUGGUACUGAGACACGGACCAGACUCCUACGGGAGGCAGCAGUGAGGAAUAUUGCACAAUGGAGGAAACUCUGAUGCAGCAACGCCGCGUGGAGGAUGACGCAUUUCGGUGUGUAAACUCCUUUUAUAAGAGAAGAAAAUGACGGUAUCUUAUGAAUAAGUCCCGGCUAACUCCGUGCCAGCAGCCGCGGUAAUACGGAGGGGACAAGCGUUAUUCGAAAUCACUGGGCGUAAAGGACGCGUAGGCGGGACAGUAAGUCAGGUGUGAAAUCCUAUGGCUCAACCAUAGAACUGCAUUUGAAACUGCUGACCUAGAGUAUGGAAGGGGCAGGUGGAAUUAGUGGUGUAGGGGUAAAAUCCGUAGAUAUCACUAGGAAUACCGAAAGCGAAGGCGACCUGCUGGGACAUUACUGACGCUGAGGCGUGAAAGCGUGGGGAGCAAACAGGAUUAGAUACCCUGGUAGUCCACGCCCUAAACGAUGAAUGCUAGUCGUCGGGGCUCUAGUAGCUUCGGUGAUGCACUUAACAGAUUAAGCAUUCCGCCUGGGGAGUACGGUCGCAAGAUUAAAACUCAAAGGAAUAGACGGGGACCCGCACAAGUGGUGGAGCAUGUGGUUUAAUUCGAAGAUACGCGAAGAACCUUACCUAGCCUUGACAUUGAUUGAAUUUUCCAGAGAUGGAGAAGUGCCUUUCGGGGAACAUGAAAACAGGUGCUGCACGGCUGUCGUCAGCUCGUGUCGUG
rnacentral:rRNA from 1 species